rnacentral:tRNA from 1 species
GCAAGGGUGGUUCAGUGGUAGAAUUCUUGCCUUCCAUGCAGGAGAUCUAGGUUCAGUUUCAUGCCAGUGCU